rnacentral:rRNA from 1 species
CCUCCGGGGGGCAGCAGUGGGGAAUAUUGCACAAUGGGCGCAAGCCUGAUGCAGCCAUGCCGCGUGUAUGAAGAAGGCCUUCGGGUUGUAAAGUACUUUCAGUCGUGAGGAAGGCGUUAAGGUUAAUAACCUUAGCAAUUGACGUUAGCGACAGAAGAAGCACCGGCUAACUCCGUGCCAGCAGCCGCGGUAAUACGGAGGGUGCGAGCGUUAAUCGGAAUUACUGGGCGUAAGGGGCACGCAGGCGGUUAAUUAAGUUGGAUGUGAAGUCCGCGGGCUUAACCUGGGAAUGGCAUUGAAGACUGGUUAGCUAGAGUGUUGUAGAGGGGGGUAGAAGUCCAUGUGUAGCGGUGAAGUGCGUAGGGGUGGGGAGGGAUACCGGUGGCGAAGGCGGCCCCCUGGACAAAGACUGACGCUCAUGUGAGAGAGCGUGAGGAGCGGACAGGAUUAGAUACCCGUGUAGUC